UAGUCGUGCAAUGUAAUCAUUGCAGUUUCUCAAACUGCAAUGAGUUACAUUGCAGGACUA
rnacentral:miRNA from 1 species